rnacentral:rRNA from 1 species
AUUGAACGCUGGCGGCAUGCCUUACACAUGCAAGUCGAACGGCAGCGGGGGAGAAGCUUGCUUUUCCUGCCGGCGAGUGGCGAACGGGUGAGUAAUACAUCGGAACGUGCCCUGUAGUGGGGGAUAACUAGUCGAAAGAUUAGCUAAUACCGCAUACGACCUGAGGGUGAAAGUGGGGGACCGCAAGGCCUCAUGCUAUAGGAGCGGCCGAUGUCUGAUUAGCUAGUUGGUGGGGUAAAGGUCUACCAAGGCGACGAUCAGUAGCUGGUCUGAGAGGACGAUCAGCCACACUGGGACUGAGACACGGCCCAGACUCCUACGGGAGGCAGCAGUGGGGAAUUUUGGACAAUGGGCGAAAGCCUGAUCCAGCAAUGCCGCGUGUGUGAAGAAGGCCUCCGGGUUGUAAAGCACUUUUGUCCGGAAAGAAAUGGCUCUGGUUAAUACCUGGGGUCGAUGACGGUACCGGAAGAAUAAGGACCGGCUAACUACGUGCCAGCCGCCGCGGUAA